CAUGCUUGUAUCAUCAAAGGCACAAUCCCCCAAAUAUUUCCCCUAUCUGCCCCACUACAUGCAUGUUACACAAAAAGAAAAAUACUUUUGAUCUGAUACUACAUACAUACAUGACUGGCAUUCCUAGUUGAGCAGGAGGACAGCUAUUUAAUGAUACGUUUCUUUGAAAUAAACUUGUAUGCAUUCUUGCCCCUGCUCGGAAGAACAAAACCAGACAUUAAAUGCAGAAAUUAUUGUUUAAAAAGCAAGAGGAUGCAAUUCCCUGGGUUUUUUUUAUCAUUGUAAUACAUGUAGGACAGAUUCCUCUAUAGUAUUGGCUUCAGCACAUUUCAUCGCAUUGACUUGGUUUGUUUUGGCAUAAUAAGCCUUUUCGGAGUUCCAACUGCGCAUUCAUAACCUGUGACAACGCGCAUUGUUUGUCUCAAAUGGCCUUUGACAACAUCGCGCCACUGACUUUACAAAAAGGCUGUUUGUGCAAUGUGGGUACUGUCAAAGGGCAUUUGAGACAAACAAUGUGCGUUGUCACAGGUUACGAAUGCGCGCAGUUGGAACUCCGAAAAGGCUUAUAAAAUGCUGUAUGGGGAAACUGCUCUACUUCAUUUCACUAGUGUAAGCUGAUGUGCUAACAUUCACCAUAAUAUAUGUACUAUCUGACUUGAAGGCAUGAGCAUCAAAUAUAUACACGUGUGCAGAGCCACACUUCAAAUGUCUGAUAUAUCCUAGCAGGCAAAUUUUACGUGACCCCGCGCCAGCAAAUCGGAGUUGACUUUAGAAAAUGUGACGUCAGUCCGAUCAGAAAUGUGGACUAAGCUGUUGAUUAGUCAAUUUGGCUGCCAUGUUUUGUAAUAGAACGUACGGGUUACACAAGACCCGAUACAAGGCACCCACUGAAUUUUGAGGUCAAGACGCAGUCUUGCUUUGCAUAAUCAACCAGUUUGUGCCGGAUGACGUGUAUACAUGCAUAGGCUUUGUGGUAUUUAGAACGGAUGACAGAUAAACACGCACAUGACGCCGGGAGCGAGGCCGGAAUAUCUGUCAGUGACCAGCUCGCAGCGAGCAAGGCUGGAAAUGUGAGUGUGCUGCCCGAAGGUGAUGGCUUCAACCCGCCUGGCUUGAGGUCGAGUGAAAAAUAAUCCCGCGUCUCAUAUCGUUCUUGUCAAAAUAAUCCUUGCGUGAACUGGUUACUCGCCAAAUCUGCGCGAAUAUCAUAGACGCGUGUCUGCAAGCGGCUAUUCCAUACAUGUAGACUACCCUUCGUGGUGGACAGCCACAUACUCAAUGACACAUGUACAUCUACACUGUAAUUUGACUAACAACUACAUAAAUAACUACAUGUAGGUAAAAAAAGUAAUUCAAUAAAAACAAUUUUAGUUUAGUUGAUUAUGCCGUUUACAUCUCAUUCUCAUUGGAAAUUGUUAGUAAAUUGACUAAGACAUGUACAUUGUAAAUCUGAGGUAAAGGCAUAGGCCUACUUUGUAGUUAGCCAUUCCAAAGAAACUGCUGCGAUGAAAAAUCCUCACUUUUUUAUGUUUUUUAAAUGUGUAAAUGAAAAUGCUACCCUAGUAAAUCACAUGUACAUGUAAAGGCUCACUCGAAUGCUCCUUGUGAAAUGGCAGUAUUGUUAAUGUAAAGAAUAAAAGUAUAUUUGUCUUUGUCCAAUUCCAAAUACUUUUGUAUUUCGAAUAUUCGAAAGUCAGAAAUCGAGUUAACACAUGUCAGCUGCAACUGUCGAAAAUUGUACGCAAAAGCGCGCCAGUUAAAGUUUGUUCGCUGCAAUCGAUGUAAUGGGCCGCAGGAGUGUUUUGCAGUAAGUAUUUUAUUACUGUCAAUGGCUUUAACCUUCUGACUUAAAGGAUGGGAACAAUGAACAGCCAUCAACAAAAGCCGUAGUUGUACGCAAAAGCGCGCCAGUUCAAGUUUGUUUGCGGCGAUCGAUGUAAUGGGCCGCAGGAGUGUUUUGCAGUAAGUAUUUUAUUACUGUCAAUGGCUUUUACCUACUGACUUAAAGGAUGGGAACAAU